GCCCUGAUGGUCUAGCGGUAUGAUUCUCCCUUAGGGUCCUCAUGACACUUCUGGGAGAGGUCCCAGGUUCGAAUCCUGGUUAGGGCC
rnacentral:tRNA from 1 species